GAGACAGCAAGCUCACGACCUGUUAGAUAAAUUUGCUAUUAGCAUCAGGUUUCUUGAUAAAUAUGUCAUAAUAUGUAAAGAUUUACAAUUAUGUAAAAGGCAUAACUACAAUAUCCUGUUUCAAUCUAACGAGCUAAAAGAAAGGAUGAAAAAGAAGUAAACUACUACAGCAUAACUUAGCUACUGUAAUAAUCUACAAAAAUGAAACAAGAAAUCUACCACUUUCUCUUAAACGAUCACG
rnacentral:misc_RNA from 1 species